rnacentral:rRNA from 1 species
AUGAACGCUGGCGGCGUGUCUAAGGCAUGCAAGUUGAACGCCCCGACGCAAGUCGGGGAGUGGCAAACGGGAGAGUAACACAUUGAUAACUUACCCCGAGGUCGUGAAUAAUCCUGCGAAAGCGGGCCUAAUACGCGAUGAAAGUGGGGGGCCAAAAGGCAUUCCCACUUAAAGCUCCGACGCUUCGAGAUCAGACUAUAUCCUAUCAGUUAGUUGGUGAGGUAAUGGCUCACCAAGGCAAUGACGGGUAGCGGUUCUGAGAGGAUGAUCCGCCACACUGGUACUGAGACACGGACCAGACUCCUACGGGAGGCAGCAGUGAGGAAUAUUGCACAAUGGGGGAAACCCUGAUGCAGCAACGCCGCGUGGAGGAUGACGCAUUUCGGUGUGUAAACUCCUUUUAUAUGUCAAGAAAAUGACGGUAGCAUAUGAAUAAGCACCGGCUAACUCCGU